rnacentral:lncRNA from 1 species
AUGAUCUCAUCAUUACAUAUCUCAUUCUGCUUCUCCAGCCAGAUUGUGAUGGACAGGGACUAUGUCUAUUUUUAGCAUUGUAUCCUUCCCCUUGCCUUACCAUAUGUAUGGAAUGUAGGACCUCCUAUAGAGCAGGUGAUUAAUAAUUGUAUGUUGAAUUGAAAUUGAUUGAAUAAAUAGUACAUAAGACCUUCAGCUGAAAAAGAUCAUAGAGAAAACCUGAUCAGAUUCUCAUAUCUUACAAAUGAGGCAACUGAGGUCCUUGGAAGGGAAGAGAUAAUCGAAUCCUCCUUCUGGAGCUCAAAGAAAGCUCAGGCACCAUCUAGCCCAGCCCCUUCCUUUUACAGAGAAGGAAGCUAAGGUCCAAAAAGCAUCUUGCUUCAGGCCAUUGGGGAAGUGCAGGUGUACCAGGUCCUUUGCUGCCCAGAGCAGGCUUCUUUCUAUUAGAUUCCAUUGCUUACUGAGCUUUCAGCCCAGUUCUGCUUCUGCCUUCCUGCCACUGCAGGUUUGUGCAGGGCAAUGAUGAGCCCAGCAGGGGAGAGACAGCAAUCAGUUCAGUCUCCUGUUCUUUCCACUCUUGAUAGAGGUGUGUGGUCUGACUUCCAUUCCUUCUCGGCAGGGAGUGCGCUGCCAAGGCAAGCUUACACAUCGCCUGGUAGAUGCUUUGCAGACAGGAAUGGCUUUUGCUGCAAAGGCAGAAUUGGACUGAGUCACUUUGGGUCAACAGAAUAAAAUGGUUCCUUGCAGCUCAAUUAGUCUUUUCUUAAACCUGGCUCAGGUUUCAGCUGUUGACAUAAAACAGAAGUGAUGCUAGACUUGUUAGACUCCCCUCCCCGUCACAAUAUGGAGUAUUGUGCCUUGUUCUGGGCACCAUAUUUUAAGGAAGAUGCUGACAAAUUGGAGCACAUCCAGAGUACGGUGGGGCAACAGGGGCAAUAGCAAGGAGGCCCUGCCAUCCAAGGAACUGUGGGCACUAAACUUGAAGAAAAGAAGACUAAUGGGCAAUGUAUAUUCAGGAAAUCAAUCAAUAGUGGGGGAGGAGGAAUCUGAAUUUUUUUUUUUAAUGCAUCAUGGACUCUUCCACAGAAAAGUGAAGCCUAAUGGUAUCUUCUCACAAUAAUACUUUUAAAUACUUAAGCUAAAAUACCAAAUGUUACAAAUGACAUUUUAUAUUGUAACACAUAUAUCAAAAUAUUAAACUAAUGAACAAAUCAAGUUCAUGGCCACUAAAUUAAGAACACUUAGUCUAUAGUUUUCUUUCUCUGCUUUUUUGCUUCCUGACUUUGGUAUCAAGACAAUAUUUUAGUCAUAGAGUUUAGAAGUAUCUCUUCUCUUAUUUUUGCAAAUAGUUUAUGUAGUGUAAGAAUUAUUCGUUCUUUGAAUGUUUGACAAAAUUCACUUGUUCACAUGGUCCAGAAUUUUUUUCCUUCAGGAAUUCAUCUUCCACAUCUAUUUUUAAACUGGGUU